rnacentral:rRNA from 1 species
CCACCUUAUCGUUAGUUGCCAGCACGUAAUGGUGGGAACUCUAACGAGACUGCCUAGGUAAACUAGGAGGAAGGUGAGGACGACGUCAAGUCAUCAUGGCCCUUAUGUCUGGGGCUACACACGUGCUACAAUGGUCGGUACAGAAGGCAGCGAAGCCGCAAGGUGGAGCAAAUCCCUAAAGCCGGCCUCAGUUCGGAUUGUAGUCUGCAACUCGACUACAUGAAGCUGGAAUUGCUAGUAACGGCGAGUCAGCAAUAUCGCCGUGAAUACGUUCCCGGGCCUUGUACACACCGCCCGU